CAUCGCUGCCAUCCCCGCAGUCGUUGUCACCGUCACACACGAAGAUGAUGGAGAUGCACGACUUGUUACUGCACUGGAACUCGUUGGGAGAACAGGCUUGGGAAUAAAAACAGACAGGUGAGCUGGGAGGUCUCCAACCCAGCCCUCACCACUGCCCCGACUUCAGCACAUCAGGGAUGUCAGAGCAAAGGCACAGAGGCAUUACCGCGGCUGUCCCACCCCGGAACGUUUCUCCCAGUGGUUACCACGUGGUGAUGAGGCCACAGCGCUCCUCAGCUGUGCCUCGGGACGCAUCCUCCAGGGAGCACGGGCAGCCCUGGAGGAGGAGGGGCAGCAGGGCUGUGGGAGCUGCCCAUGGGAGAAGCGGGGGCAGCGCUGCCCUGGCACUGAGGAGCAGCCAGGGGAGCCCUGGGCAAGAGCAGCAGCACAGAAUGGGAAUGGGAAUGGGAAUGGGAAUGGGAGGUUGCAGGGAGAGGAUGGGGCUGUGCUGGCAGCACCGGGCUCUGCUCGGCUCCAUGCUGACAUUACCAGCUUCCUGACUUUCAUAAGCACAGAAUCAGGUUUCAGGAUUUCACAGUAUGCCUGGUUUUGGACAUAUUAAGUGGGAUGUGUAGGGUAAAUAUUUAGUGAGUCGAGCAUCAAUUUAGCUGCAAUCUGCCAGUAAGGCCCUUUACAACACGCUGAAUGCCUUCCCUGGAAAUCACAGCUCAACAUUAACAUACAAAUGAAGCUCUUGUCAGAUAGAAGCUGAGUGGAGCACUCUCCUCUGCAAGGCUAAUGGACAGCUGAACCAGAGAUGCCUGCUCAAAUUAAACUUUCAGAUACUCCUAACAAAGUGCAGUUCGAAGUCACUUCAUCCCAUCAAGGUGUGGGGGAACCAACACUCCGUAAGUACUUUGAGGUAGUUACUUCCAAAAGAAUUCUUCUGCAUUUUCAGCCCUCUACAGGGAAGUUAUGGCUUUGACAAAUUACAAGUACAAUGAAUAUAAAUGCAUAGAUAUUACAAUAAGCUUUUUUUUAAAAAAAAAAAAUUGCACUUGGGAAUAUUUUUGUCUUCAGAAGCAGAACUAAUUACUGCCAUAUCUGCAGAGCCCCUACACUAGACCAGAGUUUAGAUGGUACCAAUCACUGCAAUGGCAAUUGCCCCUGGAAAGCAGCAGAAUCCCUCUAAAGGACCUGUCACAUCCCAGAUUUCAGCCAGUGACAGGAACCCAGUGGGAUUCUACUGCAAUAUUAUGUCUAGUUUAUACCUGAGAAUAAAGCUGUAUUUAUCCAGCCAUUUAGAACAUGUCCACUUGCACUGAUGCCUAGUUACAUUCUGUUUGGAAAACUUGCUGGGCUCUGUCUGAUAGAACCUAAGCAGCCUCUCAUUUUACAUCAGAACAUGAAAAAAUACACACACCCAUACAUAUAUAUAUAUAUACACACACACACACCUCUCCCCUCCUGCCCUGUGCUCUGUCCCAUUUAGUCCCAAGUUUUCCAGAUGUCAGAGCACAGCAAUCCACCUAAUUAGAGAAUAAAGAGGAUUGCCUUCCUUGCUGCAAAGCUACCCUGCACUGGCCAGGAGCUAAGGAGAAUCUCAGCUGCCCCAUGACACCAAUCACAGAACGCAGCAGAGCGAGGCACAGAGGAGCUGCUCGCGCUCCCUCUGCACUUGGCAGAGUAUUUGAGGUAUGAGAUGCCCUCAGCAGGCACCUGUCCCUUGGAGCAGCCACAGUUUCUCCUGUCUGAACAGAAGGAACUGAGCUCAGACAACUAACACUAGGAGGUGAAUCCUUCUCAUAAGGACCUAAAGUGUAAGCACAAAUUCUGCUCUUUAUCUCCAUUCAGCAGAUUUUUCUAUCCUUACCCCAUAACCAGAAAUCAUCUAUUAAUCCUACUGAUCAGUACACAGCUGUAUAACUUCACCCUGUCUUCAGAGGAGCCAUUAAAUGGAACUGUAUAUGGAACAUUCCUCCAAAAAGUGGAAAUUCAAGAUCUUCUGUCAAAUGCCAGUCUUUAAAGCAAGGAUUCAUGCCUGGAAGGAAAAGUUUCCCAUGGAAAGCUGCCCUCCAGGAAGGACAGCAAAAGAGAUGGAGGAGGAUCAGCACAGGGCCAGCCCCACAGCCCCACUCUGUGCUGGCAGAUGUGCCACACGUCUUCCUCUACAAACCCAAGGCACAGCAGCAGGGAAGGCAAAGCCAUUUCACCCUCUGCAGUAAACACAUUCCUAAGCUUGUCCAAUCCAUUGUGACAAAGGUUGGGUGCACUGGGAGCAGAAAACCUUCACCAGGGAAAUAAGCAGGCUGCCAGCACCUCCAAGCCAGCAAAUUCAAGACUGCUAACCCUGACCUAUGACUACAGCACACCCGGUAUUGUGAAGACUCUAAAUACCUCUGCUGCAAAAACUGAAAAAUAAGAUUUUUCUUUUAUAUAGUCUUGUUUUUUAAAGGCAGAUAUUUGCAUUUUCAAAAAUCGUUGUGCACUGGAAGGCAGUAGUGUUCUUUAAAGCCUGUCUGUUUGAAGUCAAUUAUUUAGGCACUUAACUACCUAUGUACAAGGAUUAAUACCUGCAAUUAAUCCCUGUUGCACCUAGAGCCUGUGCAGAGCCUGGAUCCCUGAUCAUUGGUGCUUUAUCCAUGGCAGCUGAAAGAAUUUGCAGUUUCCAUUGCUUCCCUGUCAAGUUCUUCCACAGGGUGAGAACCACACCGCUUUGUCUCCUUGUUCACAUUCUCUACUUUUGCCCCCGAGUCUCUGAACAGCUGCCUGUGCCAGUGUCUGCACUGGACACAUUUCACAUGGAUUCAAGAAGCAAUGGUAUCAUUCUGAGAGCAGAAAUCCAGCAAGGGUUACAAGGUUCAGAGCAGUAGCUGGAAAGAAACUGCUGGAGGAGGAAGAACCAUAACACACUUGUGCUGUUCCUACAGUUGUGGAUGGUUCUGUACCAUGAUCAUUACAUCCCCUCCUGCAGGACAUCCUCCCUUAGCCCGGGCUGUGAACAUUCUGACACAGGGACGGGCUCAGCACAGCCUCAGCACAGCCAAGCUUUGCUCCUGGAUACCAGCACAGUCUUGUUACUGCUACAAACUACCAAUGCAGAAAUGCAGGCAUAAAUAAGGUUCACAAACUCUGUGUUAAAUCCUCUUGAAUAAUUAUAAACCCAAGAGCCAGUUAUUCCCAUGAAAAAAUCAGGAGUUUACACAGUUAAAAUGUUUUUGAAGUGUCACAUGAGGUUGCAGUAAUAGCUUUAUUAACAUGGAUUUAGAAAGAGCUUAGGGGUUUUUCUUCUGGAUGCCCUCACUCACGCCAUCUUCAAGUCAUCAUCCCCUUGUUUAUUGCACAUGCAGCCUCUCACCACAGAAAUUAUUCUGUGCACAAAUAAAUGCCCUUCCAAACAUUUAUCCAGCAAGAUGUGUUAUUUAUAGACAAGCUGGUCAGCUCUGUGAGAAGUGCAGCCUCUGUGACAAGGGCUGAGCUCCAAGGGGCUGCGGGUGACAGGCAGUGCUGAAGCUUCUUAUAAAAUGAGAACAAAAACCCGAGAGCAGAGAUUAAAUUAACAAAACAAAGAGAAGAAGAGGUCUGAAGUGGUCAGGAUACUGUGUGCUGCUGAGAUAAGAGGAAACAGAGAAAGCAGGAUUCUAACCAGAGAAGAAAUGGGGAUGUUAACAGAGUAUCAGUGGAUAGCUUAGUGAGGUUUAUCAGAUUUGGAUAAGGGAGAGGAUAGCUAUCAAUCCUCCACAAGCUCCCUGCUGAAACAGCUCACUCAAUUGUUCUCAUCCAAGAGGAAAAGACUUUCAUUUGACAGGCAGCCUCCCUGAAAGUGCUCCCACUGCAGCCAUUCAGCAGUGCCUCCUGCCUCCCUCUCAAAGCCAGUUUUGACCUUGGGAAGGUGCUGAGUUGAGAU